rnacentral:misc_RNA from 1 species
UAAGAGUCUGUGCUUAUAAAGCGGG